UCCUGAAAAACCAAAAAGCUAGUAAG
rnacentral:piRNA from 1 species